AGAUGAUCCCGGACUCGUCAGGCUGUUGUGGAGGUUCAGGGACAGUUGAGAAUUCCUCAUCAUAGGUGAAAAGUUUGAGGGACAUCUUCAGGUUAGGGCGGGGCCAAAUGCUGGAAGAAUCGUCACCAUCAUGGAGAUGAUUCAUGGGGGAGAGAGGAUGAGUUAGUCGAGGAUAGUACUAGAGAGAGAGAAACAGCAGCAAGUGAUGAGAGAAACAACAGCAAGUGAUGGGAGAGUGAAAUAUAACAAGUUAUGAGAAGGACACCAGAUAGACAGCAAGAGCUUUCUGGUGGAAGGAGAGAGAAAAAGACAGCAACACUUGAUGAGAAGGGAGAGCGAAAGGAGCAGGUGAAAAGAGAUUGACUGAACUCUCUAGGACAGUUGUUUUGUUGACUUAAAAUGUAAUAUACCAAUACACAACAGUUCAUAUUAUGUUCUACUAAAGUCUCACACA